AAGUAAAAAAACUAAUUAAUCAAAUGUAUAUAUAUGUAUAAAAUUAGGAAUUUCAUUGCUUAGUUAAUUGACUGCCUAGACGUUUAUCUCGUAGGUUAAAAUUUCAGUCUUCAUUUUAUAAUUUUUUCUCAGAUUUUUCCUUUAGAUAUUUUUUUAUGUUUUUUUAAAAAAAAUAAAAUCUACACGCUAAUUAUCAAAUGAAGGAAGAUAUAUAAUACAAGAAGAAUUGAGUAAAUCAAAUUCAUAAUUGGAAAACACUGAUCUAAAAUAAACAAAAAAUUAGAAAGGAAAAAAAAAGGUUAAAUGAAAGAAAUUGAGAAAAAGAAGUGUGAGAAGCAAAGUAGGAAAGAAAAAGAACUCAUUCAUCAUUCAAAAAAUAAGUAAAAAUAGAAGAGAAAAAUAACAAUGUAAAUACAAAAAUAUGCCCCACUCAUUUUUUUUAAUUAAAAACAAUCUCUCAUACACCGUGUCAUACUUGUAAGUUGUAUUCCUACCAUCAUAAAAUUUUUCACGAACCACUACAUCCAAACUAACUGAAAGGAUUAUCUAUCCUUUUAAAAUGAAGCCAUAACUAUCCCCACUCAUCAUAACACAAAAACAUUUUAUGCAAAACUUAACAAGAAUACUUAGAAAGUAAAUGAUUAGAGGUACACUAAACAAUGUCUACCCCUUGACAAGACAAUCGAAAUUAAAACUUAUUGAGUACCCAAAGAAAUUAACAAGUUAAAAGAGGUAUUUUUUAACAAUUGAAAUUUUAAGAAAAUUAUAAAACGUGAUUCAGAAUAACGUUUUUCACUUUGUUUUAUUAAAAAAAACAUAACAGAAAAGAGGACUCAAAGGGGAACAGAGUUUGAUACUAACACGUUGUUAGGAAAUAACUUUUUAAACAUAAUAUGUUAUUGAGAAAGUGCCUCUAAUACAAUCCAUUUUUUCAUAUGAAUCGAUCAAAACCCAUUGUAUUUAACAAAACCUCAUUUAAUUUAUCAAAUUGAACAAAAAAUCAUGGAGAUUCACAUCAGACACCUGCAACCAUCGCCGGUAAGAAAAACCCGCCUCUUGCAGAAUCGACACGCUAACUACACUAGAUUCGAAAUUCUUUUGCUCAGCGGUUGAAGAUUUUGCACAUUACAAGAUUUACGUAGCUGUGAACGUUCAAAAAUUGGAAGGAGAUUGACUGUUUUGCUUGAAAAAAAUGGUCAAAAAGCUUUGAAGAGUAGUAUGUUUUUGUGAUUGAGGCGCGUCAUAUUCAUUUGAUGGUUAACAAAGCUAUAUAUAUCACUGGGUGAUAGCCCAUCAAUGGAGGAAUUUAGAUAUUUUGUGUAAUGGUCCGGGAUGAAGGAUCUAAUUGUUUGACGUAUGUGGAAGAGGCUGAUAGGAUUCACGUGAAACUUACUUACAGUUGAAAACCUUCACAUAUAUCUUACACAUUAGUGCGCUCUUUUUAAUUGAAUAAUUGAAAAAUCUUUUACUUGCCAAGGAGUUCCCAUCUGAAAUAGCAUGGCAAAAGAAAAAAAACCAAAAGUUAAUAAAGUCUCUUUAGGCGAAGACUUCCGAAUUGGAGCAUGACCAUAGAGAUUUAACUUCCCUUCCAUUUAGCUUCAAUUAGUUGGUGAUUUUUUUCCAUUAACUAUAAGUUGCACAAAUAUGUCUUCUUUUUUUGAAUUCUAUUGCCAUCAUCAUCAAGGGACAUGACUUUUGUUUAUAGUUUAAUAGAAGAGUAUCUGAUAUUGAUUGAGCAAGUGAGUGCACAAGGUAUUUAUUACUGUAUGUUUCUUUUCCUGUUGCACAAGAUAUAGUUCAUGGUUUGCUUGUUUCACCAGCUGGAAGAGAACUUGUUUAACUCAUACACAUCUUAUCAUCAUCUCGAAUGCAGACUUACUACUAAGACUUUUUAUUUAAUUUUUUUUAAAAUAAUUUAAAAUGAUUUUAAAAAGUUAAAAUUACUAGUUUAAAUAAAAAAAAAAGUUAAAAUAACUCGUUUAAAGUGACUUAAAAAAGUUAAAACUACUCGUUGAAAAUGACUUAUAAAAGUUAAAACUACUCGUUUAAAAUGACUUAAAAUUAGCUACUUUCAUUUUUUGUUGGAUCAGUAAACCUUAUUCAAUUGGCCCCUUUGGCUCACGUUAAGUGAAUCUUCUCAAGUCACGAGUUAAAUGAUAAUAUAGUUUCUUUUUAAGCACCGUGUGCUGUUAAUCUGACCUAUGAAAUUUAUAACAUUAGUAGUCAUAUAUUAGUUGCUUGAUGUUCACUUGUUGUGUCGUCUUCAGCAAAAAAUAAAUAAAUAACAAACUGAGGAAAUAUAAAAUGUCACUGAGUGUAGCUAUAAAACAUGCUUGUCAGAAACGAACUUAAAACGUUAUUGGCAGUCACAUUUUAUUUUCUGUUAGCUGUCAGCUUUGGCCGUUUUGUUAUUGAAUUCCUAAGAUGUUAUUGUGAACCAUGUUUACAUUAUUUUUCUAAAAUUUCAGAAAAAUGUACUAUUUAGUCAAUUGAUUUUAAUAAUGACUCAUUUUGGUAAAAAAUUCCAUUAUUUAUCAUAUUAUAUCUGUUGGUGGACAUUAUAUUUGUGCUCUUUACUCUCAUCAAUAGUCGAAGAAAGUGUCACUAGUUGCUAGUAACUUGUGUAACCACCAACUCUUCAUUUCACACAUUAUUCUAUCUUUUAAGUCUUGUAACUUAUAUAAUGUUUGAGCCAUUCAUUUGACAAAUUUAUUAUCUACUAUCUUCCUAUUAAUUGCAAGGAAGAAUUUAUCACCUAUAAAUAGAGUGGUCUACUUGUCUUCCAUGUGUUGUAGAUAAGAAGAAGAAGAAGUAGAAACAACAAUACAUGUAAAAAAAUAUAGAGUGAAUAAUAUGAGUAGUAUUUUAUUGUGUUUAUAUUGAGAUAGUGUAGUAGUGAAAGAGAGAGUUGAAACAAAAAAUAAUAUUCUAAGUUUUCAACUAUAUUCACUAUAUACAAAAGAAAAUAGUUUAUAUGUUGAAAGAAGAUGUUAUUUUGUGGAACUUUGGAAUCGUCAACUAAUUCGGAGUUGCUUGAGUUGUACACAUUGUUGGGAUGUUGUAUCCUGGAGGGGACAAGUUAAGAGUAUUACUGUAACAUCUCGUCAACCAAAAUAUCUAAGAUUAAUCAAAGAGACUAAGAAUAGUUAUUUUUGGAUAGAAUAGGAGAAAUCUGAAAAAUUUCGUAAGUGUAAAAGUAAGAUUUUUGGUCAUGUUCAAAUGUCCAUAACUUCUAGUUCACGAUAAUUUAGGGCAAGUUCUUCAUAUGGUUAGAAAGCCCAUGAAGAAAUUUUUCCAACGCAUUCGAGUUUCCGCAAUUUUUAUUUCGUAUGAGAGAGAUAUGCGUAUCAAAAGUUGGAUUGUAGGAUUGGGGAAAACCCGAUCCGGAUUUUAGUAAGGGUAAAAUAGUCUUUUCACCCUACUAUUUCCUAAUUUGUUUUGAGGAUUUAUUUAGGGGUAAAAUUAAACAUUGAUUCAGUUUUUAGAAGAUUGAAUACGCUUAGGGCUUGAAAAAAAAAGAGAAGAGAAGAAGGACAAAGGAGAAAAGACUAAGAUUUCGCCAAGAACAUUGAGUGAGUUUCAUCGGAGUGAUCCCUUUAAGGUAUGUGAGAUAUUUCUGUGAUGGGUUCUUCCACUCACAAUAAUAUGUUUAAUUCAGCACAAUUAGAGUAGACUGAAUAAUGAACAUUGAAGUUCUUGAUGAAAACCGGUGAAUCCUUGUUAGUUGAGUUGUGGUAUACCUUGUGUUGUUUGAUUCAUGUUUUCAGAAUGUUUUACGAGUCUAAACUAUUGGGUAUUCAGGAUAUUAGUGAUCAUAGGUGUUUAUACUGAUAUUCAUGGGAGUUUAGAAUUGAGAAUCGGAGAAGAAAAGUCAGAAAUCCCGUCUGACAAGCCCUGGGGCGCCGCGCCUACCAGAGCCCCUCAGGUCAGCCUCUGUCUGACAAGGCAUGGCGUGUCGUGCCUGCAAGAUCACCUCAGGACAAUCUCUGUCCAUCAGGCUCUGGCGCCCCACGCCUUUCAGAGCGCCUGGGUCACCUAGAGAUCCCAUCCCCCCCCUCUUUUCAUACAAGUUCCUAAGUGAUGUACCUAUAAUUUCAAGUUGGUUCCAACACUCUAAAGUACAUCUAAAUAUCGUGAAAUCAUUCAUAGACAUGAGAUCAUGAUCGUUGAAUCCAUAAUCCAAUUCAAGUAAAAUUAAGAUCAAAUUCAAAGAAGUUAAGAGUCAUGUUUAAAAAUUAAGUAGCAAGUCAUAGCGAGUUCUUAAAGUUUUCAAGAGUCUUAAACAAACAUUUUGACUUUGUUUUAAGGCUCAAGCUACAAAUUGAGCAAAGAGUAAUGAUUUGAGUUUAAAUCUCAAAAGUUAUAAGGAAACUAAGUAUUCCCUAGGAGUUAAGUUUCAAGUAAAGCAAAGAGCAAAAAGUGAGUUCAUUUCUCAAUUAUAAGGGAACUAAAUAGUCCCUAAGAGUUGCAAAUGUUUUUAUAAUUUGAGAAAGAAAGGGAGCUAGACUUCCACAAAGUCUUUGGCUAGUUUUAGAAAAUGGGAACUAUUAUUUUCAAGAGAGUUUUUAAAGCUAAGUCUGAGCAAUUACCUCAAACCAGAGAAGAAUUUGUUUUAAAUACAUAUGAGCUAAGUAUUUUGGGGGUAGUAUUGAGCACCGAUAUGGGAACGCGAGUUCAUAUCAGCUCAAGUCUCCAUAAACCAUGUAUACAACAUGGACAGAUAAAUGAUCAUACUUUUUAGAUGAUUUCUUAGUGCUUUUUAGCAUAAACUAGUGGAUCCACUUAGUAGUUCAGGUUCUAUACCGAUGACAAGGUAUAGAUCGGUCUUCUUGCAACGUGAGGUAAGACGUCUAACCAUCGCUUAGACUCAUAGUGAUGGUUAUCAGUUAGAGAAUCUCCCACAGAAACUAUAUACUUUUGUAUACAAGUAAAGUUGAAUUUAUUAUUUCAUUAUCUCUAACGAACUAAGUGUUACACUAUUUUGCAAGCUUUACACAUAUUGCAUGUGUCUUUACUGCUAUAUAUUGAGUUAUUACUUCUUAAGUUGAGCAAAGCCAAGGUAAGUUCAUUCUUAAUCCUUUUAAGAUUAAUAGUUGUUGUUUAGCAUUCCAACUCACAUUCUCGUACAUUUAAUGUACUUAUGCCAGUUGGCUUGCAUCGUCUUAUGAUGAAGACGCAGGUAACCAGGAUUAGCAUCCAGCGCCUCGUUGAUCCAACUUGAACAUUUCAGAGUCAGUGACACAUGUAACUAAAAUCAGCAUCCAGCGCCUCGUUGAUCCAACUUGAGCAUUUUAGAGUCAGUGGUGCAGGUGCAGGUGGACGCUAAAGCUUACGAGACUACACUUAAGCUAUCCGGACUUGGAACAUUCAUCCAGACUUUGUAGUCCAUCAUGCAUUCGAGGAUUCUUAUCUCUUAUAUUCCAGCUUUGACGUAGGCAUGAGCUAGUGGAGGGUGUUCCACUAGCGUUUCUUUCGUACUUAUUUUUCAGACGUCAUAUUGGUGCCAUUUUGGAAACUUAUAUUUAUGCAAUUAUGAAAUAUUUCCUUCAUUUCAA